ACGACGGCGACUGGUUGUGGGAAGGAAGCCUAGAACACAAAUUGUGAGCCGAUAGCCAAGAAUCAGAUAGAAGGCGUUGCCAAGCAGGGCGAGCAGGCAUUUGACCGCAAAACUCACGUGAUGAAGGCGAAAUGGCGUAAAUCCGGCGGUUGUGCAAUGAAGGAGCGUGUU
rfam:Rhodoferax antarcticus ANT.BR grfa_new.contig.16_1, whole genome shotgun sequence.